rnacentral:rRNA from 1 species
AACGAACGCUGGCGGCAUGCCUAACACAUGCAAGUCGAACGAGACCUUCGGGUCUAGUGGCGCACGGGUGCGUAACGCGUGGGAACCUGCCCUUAGGUUCGGAAUAACUCCCCGAAAGGGGUGCUAAUACCGGAUAAUGUCUUCGGACCAAAGAUUUAUCGCCUUUGGAUGGGCCCGCGUUGGAUUAGCUAGUUGGUAGGGUAAAAGCCUACCAAGGUGACGAUCCAUAGCUGGUCUGAGAGGAUGAUCAGCCACACUGGGACUGAGACACGGCCCAGACUCCUACGGGAGGCAGCAGUGGGGAAUAUUGGACAAUGGGCGAAGGCCUGAUCCAGCAAUGCCGCGUGAGUGAUGAAGGCCUUAGGGUUGUAAAGCUCUUUUACCCGGGAUGAUAAUGACAGUACCGGGAGAAUAAGCUCCGGCUAACUCCGUG